GACGAAAGUCUGACGGAGCAACGCCGCGUGAGUGAUGAAGGUUUUCGGAUCGUAAAGCUCUGUUGUUAGGGAAGAACAAGUGCGAGAGUAACUGCUCGCACCUUGACGGUACCUAACCAGAAAGCCACGGCUAACUACGUGCCAGCAGCCGCGGUAAUACGUAGGUGGCAAGCGUUGUCCGGGAAUUAUUGGGCGUAAAGGGCUCGCAGGCGGUUUCUUAAGUCUGAUGUGAAAGCCCCCGGCUCAACCGGGGAGGGUCAUUGGAAACUGGGAAACUUGAGUGCAGAAGAGGAGAGUGGAAUUCCACGUGUAGCGGUGAAAUGCGUAGAGAUGUGGAGGAACACCAGUGGCGAAGGCGACUCUCUGGUCUGUAACUGACGCUGAGGAGCGAAAGCGUGGGGAGCGAACAGGAUUAGAUACCCUGGUAGUCCACGCCGUAAACGAUGAGUGCUAAGUGUUAGGGGGUUUCCGCCCCUUAGUGCUGCAGCUAACGCAUUAAGCACUCCGCCUGGGGAGUACGGUCGCAAGACUGAAACUCAAAGGAAUUGACGGGGGCCCGCACAAGCGGUGGAGCAUGUGGUUUAAUUCGAAGCAACGCGAAGAACCUUACCAGGUCUUGACAUCCUCUGACAACCCUAGAGAUAGGGCUUUCCCUUCGGGGACAGAGUGACAGGUGGUGCAUGGUUGUCGUCAGCUCGUGUCGUGAGAUGUUGGGUUAAGUCCCGCAACGAGCGCAACCCUUGAUCU
rnacentral:rRNA from 2 species